GAUGAACGCUGGCGGCGUGCUUAACACAUGCAAGUCGAACGGUGAACGAGGGAGCUUGCUCCCUCCGGAUCAGUGGCGAACGGGUGAGUAACACGUGAGCAAUCUGCCCUGGACUCUGGGAUAAGCGUUGGAAACGACGUCUAAUACCGGAUACGAGGCGUGGGGGCAUCCCCAACGCCUGGAAAGAACUUCGGUCCAGGAUGAGCUCGCGGCCUUUCAGGUAGUUGGUGAGGUAAUGGCUCUCCAAGCCUACGACGGGUAGCCGGCCUGAGAGGGUGACCGGCCACACUGGGACUGAGACACGGCCCAGACUCCUACUGGAGGCAGCAGUGGGGAAUAUUGCACAAUGGGCGCAAGCCUGAUGCAGCAACGCCGCGUGAGGGACGACGGCCUUCGGGUUGUAAACCUCUUUUAGCAGGGAAGAAGCGAAAGUGACGGUACCUGCAGAAAAAGCACCGGCUAACUACGUGCCAGCCGCCGCAGUAACAC
rnacentral:rRNA from 1 species